UGCUCAAGCGACCACCUACUCUUAGGAUGCCAUCAACCAUCACAGGACCCAGUUUGUGCAGAUGACUGGAUUUCUUUACGGCCUUUUCAUUGCUCAAAUUUGAGAUUUCCUCAGGAAAGUGCUGCUUUUGCACAAAACUGACUACUGUUUUCUCAGCUUUAUCAAGAUCCUCCAGUGAAAGUUUGUGAGUCAAUUCUUUCAUUUGGACUUUGGGUUUGACAUCUAAUAUGGUGUUAUUGUCAGAAUGUGUAUUAUUUGUCUUUUUCUUUUCAUCACACCUCUGUUUUAGUGUGUCUUUAAACUUUAAAAGCCGUGCCACUGCUCGUUUCAGGUCUGUCCAUUUGGAAAAGUAUGAAAGCAGCUUGCUGGUGGGACAAGACUCUUCCAUUGGCUGAACAGAUGUGACAUGAACAGAAGCUUCUUGCUUUAUCUCAGGGUCACCAUCCGAAAUGACAUCCAUCUCUCCAAGUGUUCCUGGCCAUUGAGAGUGUUUGUGAAGCAAUUCCGGCCCAUUGAUCCACGUUUUGCACUGAAGGAAAGCUUUGGCUAAACUGCGUGAAGCUGCAUCAGCUGGGUUCUCCUUUGAAGAGAUAUGCCUCCAUUGCUCUACCUUUGAUAGAGAGUGAAUAACUGAGAUUCGAUUUGCAACAUAUGUCUUAAAUCUUUUGCUUGUGUUUGCAAUCUAUUGCAGAACUGUCAUGCUAUCUGACCAGAAGAUGGAAUUUGUUAAUGAGAACUGCAACUCUGUUUUCAGCAUGUGAUCCAGUCGUACAGCUAAGACUGCUGCUGCUAGCUCCAUUCUGGGGAUGGUAGUACACUUAAGAGGUGCUACUUUGGCUUUUCCAAAGGCAAAAGACACACAGACUUCACCCUUACCAUUUGUGAGCCAAAGGUAGGACACGGCGCCAUACCCUACCUCACUAGCAUCACAAAAGUGGUGCAGCUGUGAGGUCACCAAAGUCUCUAGGAAUAAAGAUUCUGUCAACACUGAAUGUGUCCAGUAGGUGGAGUGAGCCAAGCCAUUUUUCCUAAGUUUGAGCUACAUCAUGCAGGAUUUUUUCAUCCCAACUCAGUUUCAACUUACAUAAGCUUUGCAAGAUCUGCUUUGCUACAAGUGUGAUGGGAGCCAAAAAGGGGUCAUAAAUUGAACAUACAAUGGACAGAAUGCCCCUUUUGGUUAUCUGGUGAUACUUGAUUGCUAUGCUGAAAGUAAAGACAUCUCUUUCAACGUCCCAUUGAGCACCAAGAGCUCUUUCCAUUGACAGCUGCUCCUUGCUCAGAUCCACAGUACUCACUUCUUUUGCUCUAUCCUCUUCAGGAAUGGCAGAGAGGACAGUACGAUCAUUACUGAUCCAUUUGUUUAGAUGGAAGCCACCUUUUGAACGUACUUCAGUGAGCUGUUGAUACAUAAAGGUAGCCUGCUCUGUACUGUUGACUGCUUUUAGGCAGUCAUCUACAUAGAAGUUUUGUCUAUUCAUCUUGAUUGUCAUCUGCUGUUUUCAGCAAAGCAAAUGUUGCGCAGCUAGGUGAUGAUUGUGCACCAAAGAUAUGCACAAGCAUCCUGUGCUCUACGAGUUCCCUAGAGAUGUCUGCAUUUGGCCACCAGAGAAAGCGCAAGAAGUUGAUGUCUUCCUUUGCUGCCCGGACCUGAUGAAACAUCCCUUCUAUAUCAGUGAUGAAUGCAACAGGGCUUUGACGAAAGCGGAGCAAUACGCCAAGUAGCGUAUUUGUUAAAUCAGGGCCUUGGAGCAGUUCUUUAUUCAAAGAGGUUCCACCAAAUGCUGCUGUGCUGUUUCUUUUUGCGUGGGUGGUAGACACCAUGGUGUGGCACAUACCACACCUUGCCAGUCUCAGGCUGCAAUGUCAGCAUACCCCUUUGUCAUGACAUCAUUCAUGAAGGCUUUAUAUUUGUUACAGAACACUUUAUCCUUUUCAAACCUUUUCAACAGAUGUUGAGCUCUUUGUUGGGCUAUUUGCCUAUUAUUGGGCAUGAUCACAUUGGUGUUACGAAACGGAAGUUUCAAGCGGUAACGACCAUCUUUGAGUUCAGCUGAAUCAGAUACUAUUCUCAAAACUUCUGAUCUUCCUGUGACAAUUCAUGCUUUUCUCCAUGAUGCUGUUCCAUGAAGUCAUGAUUGUAAUAUUUUAUUAACAGGUUUUCCAAGUUUGCGAUGGAUAUUCUAUUGACUUGAACAGAAGAGUCAUUGACAUUUCCAUUCCCCCCAAAGCCAAGUGGGCCAUUGAUAACCCAGCCAAGAAGGGUUUUAACAACAUAAGGUCCACUACCUACACUGUUUAUUAUUUUCCAGGGUUCUAAAGCUCUUGGAGCAUUGACACCUAUUAGUAGCCCAAUGCUAGCGUCAAUUGGUGUCAAGUCAACUUCCUCAAGGGGCGUGAAGCUGCAUGGACAACUCCUCGGUACAAAAUGUUGCCGAGCUUCCCGGGUCUAGGAAAGCAUAUAUUUGUAUGCAUUUUGUUCCUUUCUCCAGUUUCACUUUGACAGGCACGAUUGCUAGAGCACACUCUUUUGUUCCAGCCAGUAAGGCUACUGGUUGCCAGAGAGACAACUGCAUCGGAAUCAGCAGCUUCUUUGAUGUCAUUCUGAGGCUUUCUUUGAUUUUCCUUUGUUUGCAUGUGCAAGAUUGUGGAUGACUUUGUUUACACACAUUGCAAGACAUGCGCUUCUGACAACUUCUGCUCAUGUGUCCUCUUUCUAAGCACCCAAAGCACAUUCCUUUAGCUUUCAAGAACUCCACCUUUUCGUUAUUUGGUUUGGUUUGAAAUGAUUUACAUACUUCCAAUGAAUGAUUUUUGUUGCAGAACAUGCAGGGCUUUGUAAAUGCACUUGAACUACUGCUUGUGGUUGGGGCUUGUUUGUUAUUAUGUGACUGCAACUUUGUUUGCCCGGACAUUGACAUUGGUGAAACAGCCGUAGCAAAACUGCUCCCCCUGCUGUUCGAUUUUGAGUAAGCUUUGUGUUGCCUUUUUGAUUCUGAGGUUUUAUUCAAUGGACUUUGAAUUUCCCCAAAGAUUGGAUCCAGCAUUAUUCUAGAUUGUUUAUCAAUAAAUGCAAGUAAAUCUCUAAA